AGAGUUUGAUCCUGGCUCAGAUUGAACGCUGGCGGCAUGCUUUACACAUGCAAGUCGAACGGCAGCACGGGCUUCGGCCUGGUGGCGAGUGGCGAACGGGUGAGUAAUGCGUCGGAACGCGCCGAGUAGUGGGGGAUAACGCAGCGAAAGCUGUGCUAAUACCGCAUACGUACUGAGGUAGAAAGUGGGGGACCUUCGGGCCUCACGCUAUUCGAGCGGCCGACGUCUGAUUAGCUAGUUGGUGGGGUAAAGGCUCACCAAGGCGACGAUCAGUAGCGGGUCUGAGAGGAUGAUCCGCCACACUGGGACUGAGACACGGCCCAGACACCUACGGGAGGCAGCAGUGGGGAAUUUUGGACAAUGGGCGCAAGCCUGAUCCAGCCAUGCCGCGUGUCUGAAGAAGGCCUUCGGGUUGUAAAGGACUUUUGUCCGGGAGCAAAGCCUACUUGUU
rnacentral:rRNA from 1 species